GAUGAACGCUGGCGGCGUGCCUAAUACAUGCGAGUCGAGCGAACAGACGAGGAGCUUGCUCCUCUGACGUUAGCGGCGGACGGGUGAGUAACACGUGGAUAACCUACCUAUAAGACUGGGAUAACUUCGGGAAACCGGAGCUAAUACCGGAUAAUAUAUUGAACCGCAUGGUUCAAUAGUGAAAGACGGUUUUGCUGUCACUUAUAGAUGGAUCCGCGCCGCAUUAGCUAGUUGGUAAGGUAACGGCUUACCAAGGCGACGAUGCGUAGCCGACCUGAGAGGGUGAUCGGCCACACUGGAACUGCGACACGGUCCAGACUCCUACGGGAGGCAGCAGUAGGGAAUCUUCCGCAAUGGGCGAAAGCCUGACGGAGCAACGCCGCGUGAGUGAUGAAGGUCUUCGGAUCGUAAAACUCUGUUAUUAGGGAAGAACAAAUGUGUAAGUAACUAUGCACGUCUUGACGGUACCUAAUCAGAAAGCCACGGCUAACUACGUG
rnacentral:rRNA from 1 species